AUUGAACGCUGGCGGCAUGCCUUACACAUGCAAGUCGAACGGUAACAGGUUAAGCUGACGAGUGGCGAACGGGUGAGUAAUGUAUCGGAACGUGCCCAGUCGUGGGGGAUAACUGCUCGAAAGAGCAGCUAAUACCGCAUACGACCUGAGUGUGAAAGCGGGGGAUCGCAAGACCUCGCGCGAUUGGAGCGGCCGAUAUCAGAUUAGGUAGUUGGUGAGGUAAAGGCUCACCAAGCCGACGAUCUGUAGCUGGUCUGAGAGGACGACCAGCCACACUGGGACUGAGACACGGCCCAGACUCCUACGGGAGGCAGCAGUGGGGAAUUUUGGACAAUGGGCGCAAGCCUGAUCCAGCCAUGCCGCGUGCGGGAAGAAGGCGUUCGGGUUGUAAACCGCUUUUGUCAGGGAAGAAAAGGUUCUGGCUAAUACCUGGGACUCAUGACGGUACCUGAAGAAUAAGCACCGGCUAACUACGUG
rnacentral:rRNA from 1 species